AAAUUCGCCUUCAUGAAGCCGGAAUUGCUAGUAAUGGCAGGUCAGCAUACUGCCGUGAAUACGUUCCCGGGCCUUGUACACACCGCCCGUCACACCAUGAGAGUUGGGAAUACCCGAAGCCUGUGAGCUAACUUAUAAGAGGCAGCAGUCGAAGGUAGAAUCAAUGAUUGGGGUGAAGUCGUAACAAGGUAUC
rnacentral:rRNA from 1 species